rnacentral:rRNA from 1 species
AACUCAAAGGAAUUGACGGGGGCCCGCACAAGCGGUGGAGCAUGUGGUUUAAUUCGACGCAACGCGAAGAACCUUACCUGGGUUUGACAUGCAUCGGACCGGUGGUGAAAGCCACCUUCUCUUCGGAGCCGAUGCACAGGUGCUGCAUGGCUGUCGUCAGCUCGUGUCGUGAGAUGUUGGGUUAAGUCCCGCAACGAGCGCAACCCUCGCCCUCUGUUGCUACCGGGUUAUGCCGGGCACUCUGAGGGGACUGCCCCGGUGAACGGGGAGGAAGGUGGGGAUGACGUCAAGUCCUCAUGGCCUUUAUGUCCAGGGCUACACACGUGCUACAAUGGUCAGGACAAUGGGUCGCUCCCUUGCAAGAGGUUGCCAAUCUCAAAAACCUGAUCCUAGUUCGGAUGGUCGGCUGCAACUCGCCGGCCUGAAGCUGGAAUCGCUAGUAAUCGGAGAUCAGCACGCUCCGGUGAAUACGUUCCCGGGCCUUGUACACACCGCCCGUC